UAGGGAAUCUUCGGCAAUGGACGAAAGUCUGACCGAGCAACGCCGCGUGAGUGAAGAAGGUUUUCGGAUCGUAAAACUCUGUUGUUAGAGAAGAACAAGGACGUUAGUAACUGAACGUCCCCUGACGGUAUCUAACCAGAAAGCCACGGCUAACUACGUGCCAGCAGCCGCGGUAAUACGUAGGUGGCAAGCGUUGUCCGGAUUUAUUGGGCGUAAAGCGAGCGCAGGCGGUUUCUUAAGUCUGAUGUGAAAGCCCCCGGCUCAACCGGGGAGGGUCAUUGGAAACUGGGAGACUUGAGUGCAGAAGAGGAGAGUGGAAUUCCAUGUGUAGCAGUGAAAUGCGUAGAUAUAUGGAGGAACACCAGUGGCGAAGGCGGCUCUCUGGUCUGUAACUAACGCUGAGGCUCGAAAGCGUGGGGAGCAAACAGG
rnacentral:rRNA from 1 species